UUUUAAAUGCAGAGCCUCCUGGGAUAGGUGGCUGUGGAGAGUGGGAGGUGGGGAGGUGAAAACUGGUAUGGGAGGGGGUUCUUGAAACUUAACCUUCAUCAAAUAUUGUACUAACAAGGGAGUUAAGGCAGGAAGCGUUGGUUUGUGGUUAAGCACAUGGGGCAGAGGUUGCUCUUGAGAGGAACAAACAAAUUUAAGUGCAGAAAAUUUACAUGGGGUUGAGGGCUUUGUGGCCCUGAAAUUGUGUCACACUCAGAGUUUGAUGAACUUUGUCAGCACCUAAAAUUGUUUUUGAGAUUUUGCAAAGGGUUCCCCCCAAAAUCACUAAGAUUUGUUCUCUCAUCUUGUAUAAAGAGAAAUGUUGGGAAUAAUUAGGGUUAUUGAUAUGUUACUAAUGAUGUGUUACAUGGGAAAUAUUGUCAAAUCAGAAGAGAUGCUUAGACUUCCCUAGGUUAAAUUUGUAUGGGUACAACAUUAUUAAUCUAAACAUGUAAACAGUUGUAUCCUGUAUGGGAAGGCUCUUGGCAAUGAUCAGUGUUUUUGCUGACCAUGUUAUGUUUCUGUGUAUCAGAGUCUUAGUAUUGCUUUGCCUGUAAAACAAAAGCAGUAUUAUAUUAGCAGUCAUAAUUUUAGUUAUUUUUAAAAACAUUAACUUGGUUGCUACCUUCCUUCUUUGAGGUGAAUUUAGUGUAUUUCCUGGCAAUAGUUUUCUAUUGGGGAUUUACAUCAUUUAUGUAUAAAGUUUUAUUAAUCUACUAGUGAUGUUCAGAGCCUACUUUUGAUGUAUUAAAUCUAUUUACUUGACAAUCUUGACAUAUUCUUGGUACAUCCUAACUUUGUGCUAAGUUUAUAUGACAUCUAAUGUUUCAGGAUUUUUAUGUUAUACCUGAAAAUGUUUUUCUGUGAAGAUUAUGUUUAUCUGUUUUCAUGAAUUAGAUGUAAUCUUUUCUUUGAAAAUUGGCAUACAUCUUCGUGUUUAAACAUAGUUUGUUAAACGUUUUUCUGGAUUGACUUUAUUUUGUUUUGGGUGCCAUGGACACAACCAUAUAUGAUUGCUGAUUGCAUGAUUCUUGUAAUGAACUCUCUUCAGAUUAUCUUUUUUUGAAAAUAUCAGUAGGAAGUAAACACAAGACAUUUCUAGUCUUUUGUCAUCUACAUACAGUUUGUGUGCUUUGCUUUACUCCUGAGGCUUUCUUGAAAAUACCUGGAAUCAGCUAUAAGGCAGAAUGUUCCAUUUUCAACAAAGGAUUGUCUAAGAACCUGCUAAAGACUAUGCCGGAUAACUCUUGGGUUCAGGCUUCUGAUCGCAUUGUUUAAAUAACUAUGAGACCACACCUGUGGACUGAGUCAGGAGUUCCAGACUGCCCGGCAAGAAGCAAGAAGCAAGAAGCAAGAAGCAUGAGACUACUAGCCCAAGAUCAAGUGGAACAGGAAUUAAUGACAUAGGACUGAAUGCACUGAUAAGUCAUGAUCGUGGGCUUCAUUUGCAACAGAGCUGACGCUCUCAGGUUCUAUUUUCUGGAUGUAAGGAACCACUUUCUCUUUUCUCUCAAGCUGUCUCUCACUCAUGACUGUGCUCUUGUAAAACAGAAAGGAAGCAUUUCUCUUCUCUGCCCUGACUCACCCUUCCAAAUUCUGGGAACGCUCAUGGAGUGUUCCUGUUCUCACAGGGCUGCAGUUAUUUGCAUAGAUUCAGUAAGAGCCUGUCCACCUCGCUAAGAGGACAUCAUUGGAAGCAUUGGUUCAUCACGGCUGGCUCUGCCUGGAAUGUCACAGUUGAGAAUGAUGCUCAUCGCAUCAGUUGGGACCAGACCCUUUUCAGGAAUUAAGGUUGCCUUUCUGGGCCAAUGCUUGCAAAGUCCCUCUUGGGAAAAGUGGCCUGGCCACCGGCUCUACGGGGUUCCCAGCCUUAGAGGUGAGUAAGGAAGGUCACUUCCCGGCAGGCUCGGGGGCUCAGGAUAUUCUGAGGACCUCAGGAAGAGAGGAAUGUCCACCAAAUCACUAGGUACUGCAGGUGGAAAAUGAUGGUGACGUUUUGGUUUGGCUUCCUAUCCUCCAGAGGCCUGGAACAGUCCAAUCUGAGGUUCUUUAUGAAAAAGUCCAGCGAAGCCAAUAGAAGACCUAGGUGGUAACAUGUCGUUCUUGCUGCAUCUAUGUAAAUAACCAGGCCACAGCUCAGGAGACUGGCCUUAUUUUGUGAAGAAGGCUAAUCUUCCUUUGAGAUUGUCUUUGAUCAAGAAGGAUAAAGUGGGAGUAGAGAGCAUUUUGUGUUUCAAUGGGAACCUAUAGCUUGCUCUUUUGGAUUAUUCAAUUCUGACCCUAUUCAUUGCCUUUGAGCUAUUUUGCACCUCUGUGAAUUGCAGGUAGCUGAUCGAUAAACUUUUUUUGUCUGGUAACCAAGUUUUCUGGUUUCCUGUGCAAGAACCAGUUUGAUGUUUACUUCUAACUGGGACUGCUUUUUCUCACCUUUCAAAACUUGUCAGCCCUUAACUAAAUUUUCAGUUCUUCUGAUUUCCUUCAAUAUUUGGCUAUGAACUAAUCAUAGCCUCUAAACCAACCCUCCAAUUUUUCUGCCACAUUCUUUACUUGGAGUCAGUGAGAACUACAGAUUGCCAGGUUUUUAUUGGGACUCUAAAAUUGCCUUCCAUGCUCUUUGCCUCCAAGAUCUGAAGAGUCACUGAAAGCUCAAGCCUGAGCACUUUUUAUAAAAUUAGAAGGACUCAGCUGACCAUUGAUAGUCCAGCUCUUUCCCUGCAUAGGCUGCUGUUUGGACUACCAAGCAAGAGUGGUGAAGUUCUCAGGCUAUUCAUCCUUGCUGGAGAACAACCAAUGCUGUGGACACCACCAGCAAUACAAUUGACAUCUCAUCUCCAAAAACUUAAUGAGUGUUUUCUUGGAAGUUCCACCAAGAUACAGUUGGCACCGACCAUCACCAUGGCUUCCGGUCUUAGAUCGGGUGCCCAGAACCUGUUGUGUCUCACUGCUGACUGCGUGUCAAGUCCACAAUGAUGUGCAUGCCUCUAGACCAUGCCUUCCACUGAGGAGGACCACAAUAUUCUUGGGCAGUCAUGCCUCAGGGGUGCUCUGAACCCAUCUACUCCUUUUCCUCAGGAUAUUUGGUCUAUUGGAAGAAACAUCAGAGGAAAUCUGCUGCCUUUGAUCUCAACGGAAGCAACUUUAUCAGAGGCUUAAAUGAUCUCACACAGCUGCUCUCUCAUCAGGUGAUCCCAAUGAUGACAAAACAAUGGAAAGGUCAGGAAGAUCUUGUAGACAGUUGACUAUGGAGAUGACUAAAAAUCUCUGAGCAGCGAAGAUCUGGAUCACUAGCUUUCUCUGAAUUUGUCAACUUCUUGCAAAUAUCCCUGUUGAAGAUGUCUGGAUGUCAAGAUUCUAGAACAACUGACCUUUGCUAUAACCUCUCAACUGAUGGUUCAGCUUGUUUUUCAGGAACUACACCAACAAAAGUCCUAGAGAGAUCCCA